rnacentral:tRNA from 1 species
CGGAGCGUGGCGCAGUCUGGUAGCGCACUUGUCUGGGGGACAAGGGGUCGGUGGUUCGAAUCCACUCGCUCCGACCA